GCUGUUUUUAUUAUAGGAUAAUUUGCGAGUGGACAUCAGAAAUGGGCUAAGGCUUAAGAGUCAGAAAUAAGUAAGUACAGAAAUAUUCCCUGUGGUGACCUUAGCACAUCCCUACUACAGCAUACAUGCCCUCCAAGAAAAAAGAUAGAACCAGGGGAGAAUUCACUUCCACUAUGUUCUAGAAUAUAGAUGGAAACUAAUAGUACCAAGUAUAAAAUCCUCAACCCUAUCUACGCCACAGCUGCUACAUACCUACAACAAUGCACCUUAAUUACAAGACAGCACUUAUGCAGCAGCCAUUUUCCUUACGCAGCAGAGGACAUCGUAUCCUCUUAAAGACUUGUGGUUUCAUAGCACUGGAAAGAGAGCACUUAUAGGUACAUCUACCACUGACUACCACCCCCAUUUUGGAUACAGCUCUGGCAAGACACAACCAUAAGAGAGUGGUCUGGGUUGUGCUAAGACAGGAUGUCCUGCACAACAGAGAUAUGCACACUGGUUUUCUAGCACAUAGUGCUGGGAUUCAACAUAGCCACAGCUAUUACCCUUUAGGAACUUUACAACUUUCUUUUCAGCACUGCAAGCGUGUUUGGGAUGAAGUCCAACCUGCUAUGGACCUUAUCUUUCUCAGCUGCAGGAGGUGUAUCCUUCUACCAUCCCAUAUGGAUCUCAGGAAUCCUGCUUUUUGUCACCAACUUCUGUGUGCUGGCCAUCACCCUGGCACAGGCAGCAACACCUAACAUUUCAAACUACUGGAGAUAGGCACUGCCCCUCUGGAGGCUGGGCAGGAAAGAAAGCAGCAGCUGGCAGAAUGCUCAGAACCUCCUUCUGCUGCCUUAUGCCCCAGGGUCCUGAGGGGGCUGGAACCUUAUGCUGUGCACAUGGCAGGCCUAACUAACAGCUGUGGAGAUUACCAACUAUUGUCCAAAGGUGCUUGAUUCUGUGGUUGGUACCUUGCAAACAUGGCCAGCAUUAGCAGCACAGACCUUGUAAUACACUACCUCAGUUUAAAGGAAUGAAUAUAGGAUGCCUGCUUCUAUUAGGAUCCAUCUAGGAAGAUCUUUCUAGAUAUCCAUCCAAACUCAUGACCUAUCUAUUUUAGCCUUAGAUUUUUUUUCCUAUUGGUUUUAAAAUUAUAUAAACUGUUUCUCGUGAGGUCUUUUAUGGGCAGCUAGCUGUUGAAUGCUUGUCCACUAUUUUUCAAUUAUCAGUUUGCAUUUCAGUAUUGAGUAUCACAUCAGAUUACGUCUCUUGAAAUAAAUAUAACUCAGACCACAGUAAUGGAAAAAUCCUGUUACAUAAUCUGCGUGCAGUCUGUAGUGCUAUUUUUACAUACAAACUUCUGCUGUGCAAUCACUGCUUAAGUUACACAAAAGACCCUACUAAAUCACUCAGCCAAUUUGCAACAGCCAUGCCUUACCACCCCUUCCAUCCCUCGACAUGAACUUGCCUACUACUUACUUUCUCUUUUAAUAUAAACAUAGCUAUACAGUUAAGAGUAGAAAAUACUCAGGUCUCAAAGUAUUAGUAUAAAGCUAAUCUCUCCCCUUUGCCUUGUCCCUCCUAUUGCUUAUACCCUUCUUGCUCCAAGAACAGCUUGCUCUGGCAAACAGAACAUAAUGACUGACCAGAUGGCAUCUAACUUUCUUUCCUAGGAAAGGGCUACCAAAAUACGAAGUAUGGGGGCAGAGUGGCAAAGAGGAAUGUGCGAGACCAACAUAUAGCCUGGUCAGACCUUACUUAAUGAAAAGAUGACAGACAGUAUUUCUGCUGCACCUGAGAUACCAUUAGCUUUACACAGUAAACUGAGGCACACAGAGGGCCCCUCUCCUACAAUCUGGCUGGAUUUUUGCAUGCAUUUGUACACAUACACACACGUACAUACAAAUAUGCAUUGCUGUUCAUGGGUAUGCAAACAUUUAUCUGUACUUUCAGGCUCUGAGGAGAAUCGUUUCAGCUAGAGUUCCAGGUAUUUUUCAGCUCCUCCUACUCCAUGAUUUAGGCAAAGUAAAGCCCUUUUGAAGUCUAAAUGGUUAUUAACUAAGAGCAAAAAGUAGAGAUUGUUCUGUUCAUCUAAAUCUCUCCUUUAUACAGAAGAAAGUGAUGCACAAACAGAUUUCAGAAGUGCUUGCUUCUUUCCCUUUUAUCUACAAGCUAGAAAUACUGAACAUCCUUUGGAAGGACUUUGGACUUCAGAGUCAGACUCUACACCAAGAGAGAAAAGGUUUAGAUUCUCAUGCUCUGAAAAACAUUACUGACAAGAAUCUGCUUAACAUUUCACCAGUAAUAACUGACAUAAUGUCACUUCAGUAAAUUAAUAUCUCAGCUCACUUAAGUGAUGAAAUUAUUGUUGAAUAUCUGGUCAGUGAGUAACAGAAGCAGAUCUUUCAGUUCCUCAUACGGCAAACCUUCAGCACUGGACAGCUACUAGAAAUCAACAUACUGGUAACAUCCCUUACUGUUUUAAAAUGUAGUUUGCUUAGGGAAAGAUCAUUCCCCUGGAAAAGGUUGAUCACAUUCAAAUGCUUGUUUCAUGAAUGGAAGCCAUUUGCUAUCCUCUCAAUAGCUUAGAUGCUGGCACUUUAACUCAGACGGGAUCAGACCAGGAAUCCAUCCCUUUUAACGCCCUUUGACACCAGCCAACACCAGGCAUUUCUGCAGAAGACAGAAAGGCUGCUGAUAUAAAUGUGAGGACAGUCUGCCUCUUCAUGUUCCACCCUUAUCUCUGAUCAGCUCAAAUUCUGAGCAUGGAGUAUAAUGGUUCAGUCCAAAUGUAACUCCAAUUCACUUUCAUUUACACGUCCCUCUCUUCUUGUACUACAAGACGGAACAAGAGUCCUCUACUUUCCUAUUUGUUUCACUACUCAGUUUUAUAAAUACUUAAUAUUUGUCUUCUUAGGGCCAUCAUAGGAGAAACUCUGUCCUACUCAUUUUACUGCCAUUAAUCAAACCCUUCUACUUUAGGGAAAUUCCUUUUCAGACAUUGACUUGCACAACACACUUUAUUUCAGGUGAAGUCCAGUGACUGAUAGAAUAUUUUGCUCAUUCUAUAUUGCAGCAUGCAUUUUUUGCCACAGAUGUAUAUGCCUUCACCAAUAAGCAAGCUUUCUUCUGCUAGUAGUGUUAAAUAUUUCCUUGGUGCAUGAAUAGAUAAUUUUCUCCAUUAAAAAACAAACAAACAAAAAACCACCAAAGCACCAAAGAAAAAAAAAACAAACAAACCCCACACAACUGAAGCCCAAUACCCUAGAUCUUCAUUAAGUGCAGUCUGUCAUUUGUCUUGCUAACUUUUCCCAAAUUACAUACAGGUUCUCAGCUCAUUUAAUGGCCAUUUCCAAGGACUUUAUUCUGGCCAUCAACAGCAAGGACUGCUGAGGUGCCUCACCAUUCAUGUCUUAUUUCUGAAAAUCCUGCAUUUCCUUCAUGGGGGUGGAUAAGGGAAUGGCUUUUGUGCUUCUUCUACUACUUGCUUUCAGAGGCAUUUCUAUAAUACAAGAAAGAAUGAAACCCCUUUUGUUCGAAGUAUAUUCACACCACCUUGUCUGGUUUUGAGCAUCCCAGAGUAACUGCUUUCUAUAUUUUCACUUGAUCUGAUAGUCACACUAUUUUCUUAUCUACUUUUAUCAACAUUUUGAGAAAUGGCUGUUCAAACCUGAUCCAGGCGUGAAAUAAACCUAAUACACACUCAAGUACAUGAAUAUAUGAAUUUCAGAUCUGUAUCUGCAUUAACUGAAAACAGCUAUUGGCAUAUCUGCAUCUUUUAACAUUUCCGCUUUGGAUUAUAUGACAAAACUGACAUGGAUCUUUCUGUCAUUCAGUAAUAAACAGAUCUGACUGGAGAGCUAAGCUACUGAAAAAGAGUGUCUUGUAACCUGAAGAUAAAUUUGACACAGCUAUCUAAGCGUACUUUAGUCUUUCUGCCUAUCUACAUUUUGGUUGCUGUGCACAAACCUUUUUCUUGCUAACUACAGUUUACUUACUGAAAACAGGUGACAGUUGUGGAAAGAAAGCAAACUAUUUCAAGAUUCACUCCAUUACUUCAGUGAAAAAACAAAACCAAACCAAUAGUAGUUUCUUUUCAACAGAUUAUUUCUAUUUUUUCUGAGAAAAAAAAAGGUCUAUGUAAGCAAUAUGCUUAAAUAAGUGUAUAGGUGUCAGUGAUGUUUCUCUUCCACUGUCCCAUUUCCGCGAGUCUGGAAGGCACAUGCCUAAUAAAGGCACAAGGAAGUGCCAGGAGCACAGAGGAAGAGACAUGAUUGAUAUAUUUGAGUUACAGUGGAAAAUUAGAAAUAUAAACAGCUUCACUGAGUGUGCAACAUCAAGAAAUCUUAGCCUGUUUUACACCAUAAAUCUCUCUCCCAAAACACUAACUUGCAUAAUAAACUAUCAGCUUAACCAUUAAGUAAAAUCCUUGUCCAAGAAUAUCUAGAAACUGAGACCCUCCUGACAUCUAACUACAAGGAUUUGAGGGUCCAGUCAGCAAAUCUUCUAUCUUUACCCCAAGCACACUAGAGGCACAGCAAUUUGUAGUGGGUAACCUAACUUUUCUUCCUCAGAAUAGAAGACAUAGAAGACAAUACAUUCCAAUGUCCAAGCAAAAAAA